AUUUUUGAAAUGCCUGAAAUGCUGUUGCUUCCUCUUACAGAUCUUGGUUCCAGCUGCUUCCCACAUCUCCAGGAGAUGAUGAAAAAAGAGCUCAUCAGUGGGUCAAGGAAAAUACACAACUCACUUCCUGAAGGCUGAGUUGGGAGAGGUGAUGCUGUGAUCACUGGGUGCUGGCUCUUCACCCCAGAGGGUUUGCCCUGCUGCCAACAACUGCACGUUGCUGUUCCUUGUCUUCUGUGAAUACUUGCCCAACAUUAAGAUGGACCAUCCUGAGGUUCUAGAAGGCUACAAGCCAAGAGUGAACCACAAAAGAUGAGUCCCAGCUGCAUUGUGCCUGAAUAAGGAGCUGGAGGGAAGCUGCCAAGAUCUUUGGCCUAUCCAGGGAACUGUUGCUGGCAUGGAGGUGUUCACACCAGCUCCUGCACAGGACACACAAGUGUCUGCUCACAGAAAGCCUGUACUUGCCAAGGUAAUGCAGCUAAUCCCUAACACAGGUCCCUGCA